rnacentral:rRNA from 1 species
AUGAUUGCUCUUAUCGGUAUGGCUCCUACCGAGGCUGAGGCUGAUGUAGAGGAGGGAGAAGAGAAGAAGAAGAAGGAAAGGAAAGCAGCCGGAGCUGCUUUCACGUGGAUUCAAACUCACUUUGCGACGUGCCCUCCGGAUGCCACUGAUGACGUGAUCCAGACACAUGCUCGUGUCUACAUGUGGUAUGUUGUGUCGAGGACUUUGUUUCCUGACUCCACUGGCAAGAACACUCCAUGGAUGUGGCUGAAGGUGUUGACCGUCUUCGAUAGCAAAUGGAGCUGGGGUUCAGCGACUCUUGCCUACUUGUACCGACAGCUGGACGAUGCGUGUUGUAGGAUCACAGAUAGUGCAGGCAUUGGUGGUAAUAUGCUUCUACUUUCUGUAUGGAGCUAG